rnacentral:rRNA from 1 species
UACGUAGGGCGCAAGCGUUGUCCGGAAUUAUUGGGCGUAAAGAGCUCGUAGGCGGUUUGUCGCGUCUGCUGUGAAAACUCGGGGCUUAACUCCGGGCCUGCAGUGGGUACGGGCAGACUAGAGUGCGGUAGGGGAGACUGGAAUUCCCGGUGUAGCGGUGAAAUGCGCAGAUAUCGGGAGGAACACCGGUGGCGAAGGCGGUUCUCUGGGCCUGUACUGACGCUGAGGAGCGAAAGCGUGGGGAGCGAACAGG